rnacentral:lncRNA from 1 species
CAACUAAUGCAUUGAGGACAUAUCCGAAGCAGAUGACGGAGAAGACAAAAUACCUAUUAUGUCAACAAUUGAAGGACUUAUUCAACUUACACCAUUGAAAUUAUUGCAACCAAAAAGAAGAUAUUCCUAAAGUUUAUCUUCCACCUACUAUGGAAAAAGACAAAGAAGAAGAAGAUAAAGAGCAAAAUGAAGACUAAAAG